rnacentral:rRNA from 1 species
AACGAACGCUGGCGGCAGGCCUAACACAUGCAAGUCGAGCGAACCGCAAGGUUAGCGGCGGACGGGGUAGUAACGCGUGGGAACGUGCCCAAAGGUACGGAAUAGCCUCGGGAAACUGAGAGUAAUACCGUAUGUGCCCGAAAGGGGAAAGAUUUAUCGCCUUUGGAUCGGCCCGCGUUGGAUUAGGUAGUUGGUGGGGUAACGGCCUACCAAGCCGACGAUCCAUAGCUGGUUUGAGAGGAUGAUCAGCAACACUGGGACUGAGACACGGCCCAGACUCCUACGGGAGGCAGCAGUGGGGAAUCUUAGACAAUGGGGGAAACCCUGAUCUAGCCAUGCCGCGUGAGCGAUGAAGGCCUUAGGGUUGUAAAGCUCUUUCACCGGGGAAGAUAAUGACGGUACCCGGAGAAGAAGCCCCGGCUAACUCCGUGCCAGCCGCCGCGGUAA